GGGCCCGCACAAGCGGUGGAGUAUGUGGUUUAAUUCGAUGCAACGCGAAGAACCUUACCAGGGUUUGACAUCCUGCGAAUCUCUUGGAAACGAGAGAGUGCCUUCGGGAGCGCAGUGACAGGUGGUGCAUGGCUGUCGUCAGCUCGUGUCGUGAGAUGUUGGGUUAAGUCCCGCAACGAGCGCAACCCACGUCUUUAGUUGCCAGCAUUUAGUUGGGCACUCUAAUGGGACUGCCGGUGAUAAGCCGGAGGAAGGUGGGGAUGACGUCAAGUCCUCAUGGCCCUUAUGGGCUGGGCUACACACGUGCUACAAUGGCGGCGACAGAGGGUUGCGAGCUCGCGAGGGCAAGCUAAUCCCCAAAAGCCGUCUCAGUUCGGAUUGUUCUCUGCAACUCGAGAGCAUGAAGGUGGAAUCGCUAGUAAUCGCAGAUC
rnacentral:rRNA from 1 species